GUCAAUAACCCGCGCCCGAGGUGACCUCGGACGGGGCUUGUAAAAGGGAAACCACUCUUUUAUGGGUUCUGUUUGUUACCAGAAGGCCGUGACCGAAAGGUCGAUAUUGAUUAGCCUUGGAAUUCGAUGGAACCUACCAAACCAGGUCAGGCGAACUAUUCGAUUUCUACGUUAUCGGCAAAAUAGGUACCCUGUGGAUACUCCUCUAGUCCCAGGUUCUACG
rnacentral:sRNA from 21 species